GACCAUCUCCUAAGGCUAAAUACUCUCUAGUGACCGAUAGUGAACCAGUACCGUGAGGGAAAGGUGAAAAGUACCCCGGAAGGGGAGUGAAAGAGAACUUGAAACCGUGUGCUUACAAGUAGUCAGAGCCCGUUAAUGGGUGAUGGCGUGCCUUUUGUAGAAUGAACCGGCGAGUUACGAUCUGAUGCAAGGUUAAGCAGAAAAUGUGGAGCCGUAGCGAAAGCGAGUCUGAAUAGGGCGAAUGAGUAUUUGGUCGUAGACCCGAAACCAGGUGAUCUACCCUUGGUCAGGUUGAAGUUCAGGUAACACUGAAUGGAGGACCGAACCGACUUACGUUGAAAAGUGAGCGGAUGAACUGAGGGUAGCGGAGAAAUUCCAAUCGAACUUGGAGAUAGCUGGUUCUCUCCGAAAUAGCUUUAGGGCUAGCCUCAAGUGAUGAUUAUUGGAGGUAGAGCACUGUUUGGACGAGGGGCCCCUCUCGGGUUACCGAAUUCAGACAAACUCCGAAUGCCAAAUAAUUUAACUUGGGAGUCAGAAUGUGGGUGAUAAGGUCCAUAUUCGAAAGGGAAACAGCCCAGACCACCAGCUAAGGUCCCAAAAUAUAUGUUAAGUGGAAAAGGAUGUGGCGUUGCCCAGACAACUAGGAUGUUGGCUUAGAAGCAGCCAUCAUUUAAAGAGUGCGUAAUAGCUCACUAGUCGAGUGACACUGCGCCGAAAAUGUACCGGGGCUAAACAUAUUACCGAAGCUGUGGAUUGUCCUUUGGACAAUGGUAGGAGAGCGUUCUAAGGGCGUUGAAGCAUGAUCGCAAGGACAUGUGGAGCGCUUAGAAGUGAGAAUGCCGGUGUGAGUAGCGAAAGACGGGUGAGAAUCCCGUCCACCGAUUGACUAAGGUUUCCAGAGGAAGGCUCGUCCGCUCUGGGUUAGUCGGGUCCUAAGCUGAGGCCGACAGGCGUAGGCGAUGGAUAACAGGUUGAUAUUCCUGUACCACCAUUAUUCGUUUUAAGCGAUGGGGGGACGCAGUAGGAUAGGCGAAGCGUGCUGUUGGAGUGCACGUCCAAGCAGUGAGAUUGAGUGUUAGGCAAAUCCGGCACUCUUAAGAUUGAGCUGUGAUGGGGAGAGGAACUUGUUCCUCGAGUCGUUGAUUUCACACUGCCGAGAAAAGCCUCUAGCUAGAAUAACGGUGCCCGUACCGCAAACCGACACAGGUAGUCAAGAUGAGAAUUCUAAGGUGAGCGAGCGAACUCUCGUUAAGGAACUCGGCAAAAUGACCCCGUAACUUCGGGAGAAGGGGUGCUCUUUGAGGUUCACGCUUCGAAGAGCCGCAGUGAAUAGGCCCAAGCGACUGUUUAUCAAAAACACAGGUCUCUGCUAAACCGUAAGGUGACGUAUAGGGGCUGACGCCUGCCCGGUGCUGGAA
rnacentral:rRNA from 1 species